GCCACCAAAGUAGGUCUAGGGUGAAGCCGAAUCUGCUCUUCCCUCCAAUCUCCCUUACCCACCCCUUGCGCCCUUGCUUCCCUUCAUCCUUGGCCCCCGAGCGCAUGCGAGUGAAGUGCCUCGUGACACUCAGGAUGGGCAACAAGAAACAAGUGGAGAAGGGGAAGAAGGAGGAUCAGGAGAAAGCCCGUGAGGUCACCAGUGACUAGUCUUACAAAGAAUUGUCGACUGAAGGAGCGCUGAUGUGUGUCAAGCGUGUACUACUUGAUGUAGACGCUGUGCCCUUCGUUCCAACACUCUUUUCUGCCAGUAAUCCUCCUCCUCCCGACCACACUGCUUUGUAUAGGAGUUCUCCUCCUCUGCCAGAAGCCAUUCAGCUAGAUCACACCAAGCUAAGUCAGAAGACCUCACAAGAAGUCGAGGUGACUUCUGUUGGUGAUUCCUUACCCAGCCAUCCCAAGGGGCCAAGGAUUGUCAGGAAACGCAAUGCAGACAUUGCUUCAUCUAAUGAUAGUCCUUCUAUUUCUCCAACCCUAAGCACUCGAAGCUUAGUGUUAAAGAACAAGCUGUCGGGGAUGAUGCUACAACAGGUAGACUCAAGUCUGCUGUUGUUGUAGACCCAUCCUCCCAAAGCAUUGGAGCUCCUCCGCCUCAGUCCAUAAUUCCUGAUGCCAUCCCAUUGGACCCUGCUGCUACAUAAAGCUCGACGCCUAGGGUGACUGAACCCAUAGCUGAAGCACCGGCAGCAGCGGGGACCAUGGUGGCCGUCAUGAAGCCGAAAGCUUUAAGAGUGAAGAAGCUUGCUGUCAGGAGAUCCGUCUUGACUUCUUCACCUCUGGGCUUGGACGAGUCUAAGCCAACCUCAUCUAGUCCAGCCCCCGAGAUGGAAAAAGGGCCAAAAACUGCAACAUUAAUGGCUGGUGCCGAGGCUGAGUAAACACUUCCAGAGCCAAGUUCACCAGUCGAGUAUCCCGCCGAAGAUGUUGCUGCCAACAAGACUUCAUCUGCAGAGCCUGCAGGUGAAAACUUUUGCCUUCCUCAAUCUUGAGUACUUUUUCUUCUGCUAGUCCAUUAUAGCCUGUUGGUAGCUGCCGCAGAGCAACAAGCUGAAGGUGCUGAGGGGGGCCAACACCUAGUCUCCUGGUUCUUGCCCCAAAGUCCAAGUACACAAUUACUACUGAGAUGUUGAAUGAUCCAUCAGUCUCUGAUGUCACUUUAAGGGAGUUCCAGAAGACCUUCAUGAAUAUGUACCAAUAUAUAACAAUAUGUUCCUUAUGCCCAAUCCAGCCUUAUCGACUUGUUGUCUUGCUUGAAACUGACUGAAUUUUAAAACCGCAGAUCAAGGCCAAUCUCUCCAGGAAGAAAUUUGAUGUGCUAGGAGUAGUAACUGAAGACUCUCGCAUUCUUUUGGCCAAGGAGGAGCAGAUUUGAGAGAAGAUUCGACUAAAUGUCGAUCUUCGUAAUGAGCUCGAUCAAGUCAAGGCUGAGCGGACGAGGGAAACCUUGCUACUGAAGAAAUAAAUCGAGAACUUGAUGAAGGAAAACCUUGAUCUUUAUGACAAAGUGAAGUCUGUGACCAAGGCGCAUUGAGAUGACGUGGAGUGUUUGGAGAAGAGACUUGCUGGAUAUGAUCAAUAGCUUCUCGACAACCUCCAACAGGUCAAGUCGAUGUCUGAAGAAAAAACUGUCAUGGCCAAGAAGAUUGAGGACCUGGAGCAAGCCGCAAGGGCAGUAGUCGACAUGGUGGAUCUUGUAGAGGAGCAGGCAGCCGAUGAGAGGUCUCUACUGGAGCAGCUUCGUGGAGCACCAGCUAUGUCUCUGAGGCUACCAAGACCUAUGUUGCUCAUGUGCUUGGUUUGUUCAAGUCCUUCUGGCCGAAACCUGACCUUGAUCGACUAUCUGCUGGGAUGGCUGCUGACUGCACUAAAGAAAAACUUGAAGAAUAUCUUGUGCAAGUGGAGCCAAUUGCGCAGAAGAUUAUUGAGAACUUAGUGCAGGAGUAGUUUUAUGGUCAUGCCACAAAAUGAUUGCUCUUGAAUUGUAAUAUUUGUGUGAAUACUCUUUCUUUGCCUAUCAAGUUGCUUUUGGAUUCUUACUUCCUGUGAGUAGAACUCGAGUAGACCUAGGUCUUACAAGAAUAAGUAGUUUUGG